GAGACUGACAGUGACUUAUAAGAUUCUGAGAUCAGGAAGGGAAAGGAAAUUCAUCUUUCUUUUUUGCUGCUGAGGAUUGAACCUAUGGCCUACAUCCCCAGCCCCAGAAAAUUUAUCUUUUAACCAUUUUCUGUUUCAUUAUUUUGGCACAUUAUUUGUAUAUGUUUGUGUAUUUCGGAAGACUUUAAGUAGCUGGAGAAAAUUGUUUGAAUGCUUGUUCAUAACACUGAAAUUUGCUCUAGAAAUUGUGUGUAAUUUGUUUUGCUUUAAAAAUCAGAACCUUGGGCCAGGGACUUAGCUCAGUGGUUCCAGUGUCUGUCUCGCAAGUGCAAGGUCCCAAGUUUGAUCUCUGGUACCAAAAUAAAUAAAUAAAUAAAUAAAAUAAAAUAAAAAUAAAAAUCAGAACCAUCUGGGUCAGAAGACCAGGAAGUCAGCUCCUUCAGCCUGAGCAUUUUGUAGGUGCAGAGCCUUAGGCUUGCUUCUUAAAAUUACUGUAGAGAUCAGUGACCAAGCAGGUCACACCCCAGUCUUUCAGGGUGAUUACGGCUGUAGUAGAUCUAAAAAAGCCCACAGCAAAUCAGAUCAAAAUCUUUCCUUGCAGAGUGUGGAGGGCGUUUGUUUGUUGACAAUGAUAGUGCCCCCUGUAAGGGGUACGUGCUGCUUCUAGAUUAUUCCAUAGUAUUCACCGUUAGUUUUUGAAACUAGAAUACUUACAUAUAUAAAUUUUCCAGUUGCUUCUCUUUCAGGGAUUAUUUUAGGGAAUUAAGGCUUUAUACUUACAGCUAAAAUAUUUAGUUACUCUAUGUAAAAAUUCAUAAUGCAGAAUGCUUUAUUUUUUUCCUUCCAAAGUAGUUAGUCCUCAGAGAAAUACCCCACUCCCUACUGUUCUACAGUUUCUUCAGGAAAAGCAUUGAAAGUAUAUUUACUCUCCACUGCCUCCCUCUUUACCCCCUCCCCAAAACCCCUCAAAGCAGUGACUACUGUUGCAUGCAGUAAAGAAGGUGGCAGGCCUAGGUGAGUUACCCCUGUACUAGUUAAAAAGUGAACAAAAACAUGGGCUUAGGACACUUACAGAGUCUUUUAUUUCUGUGAACUCUUUGGCUCCUGUUGGUUUUAGGCAAGAAUAAGGAGGAAUAUUUUCCCCUUUCUUUUCUCCCAAGUGUGGGGUCUGUCCCGGUGACUCUGCUGGGUUUCCAGGGCACCACAGGGCAUACAGGCUCCAGUGUGCUGCUGUGGAGCUUGGCCACUGGUCUAGGACAGAGUCUCUGUGGAAAUAGGAAUAUUGAGUUUUGACCACUUGUCCUAAAUGAACUCUUGAGCAUAGUUCAUAAUUUGGAGACUACCUUGUACUUUAAACACAAUUCAAUCUCUGUGCCUGUAAUUCGUGCUAUUUUGUUGUUGUUGCUGUUCCAUAGUGUUUGCAGUAGGUGGCAGUACGAUAAAAGAAUAAUUCAGUAGCCUGUCCUAACCUUUUUCUCUCCCUUCCCUUCCCUUCAUAUUUCUGAAUCUUAAAAAACCAGCUUUUUCCCUUGAAAGAAUUGUACUAUGGCAUUGACUACAUAUUAUAUUUGCUUACAUUAGAUGACAGAAAUUGAGGCAUGAAGUGAUUAUUAACUCCGUUUUGAUCUGUAUUGUGUUUAGAAGCAGUACUGCCCUGUUGUACAUCCAUUGGACUUAAAGUGUGACCCUGAUCCAGGUGGAGGACAGUUACUGAACUAACAUCAUAUCUCUUCUCUGUUUCCUCAUCUUUCACAUGGAACCGAUAAUAAUCCUAUCAUCUUUGGGAGAGAAUUCCAACAGCAAUGGAGGUGACUGACAAGUUGUGUCCUGGAGCUUCAGUCAGUGUGCCAGGAAGCAACAGAGCAGCCAUGAGGGACAGGCCCAGUACCUUAUAAUGACUGUUUGAAAAAGAGGACCUGGGGCUUUCCAUCAUGGCCAAUUUGGGGCAGCACUUCAUGAGGAAGACUCCCAAGAUACACUGUGGAAAACAAGAUAACUCACAUGAGGAUCACUGACCUGAGUGCAGAGAACUUCCAAAGAGCAAAAAUUGGCACCUCCAGGAGGACUGGGAAUGGUGAGUUAAAAAACAAGUAGAAAGGAGAAGCUUCAACAUAUUUGACCCUUCUUAAGCAGGUAUGAUUUCUGCUGCUGCCAUGGUCCAUAAACUUCAGACUCUGGACAGUCAAUUUUUUAACACAUAUAUUUGUCAGUAGCUCCCUAGGGGGCUUCAAAGUCUUCAUGUUUGGACAAUGGCUGAACUAUUGCUCUUUCUUGUUCUGAGGAUUCUAGCUCCUUCAUUUGAGCAGUCACUGAUCUUCCCAGCUUUCAAGCCCUCAGACACACACUGAAGAAGUAUUCGGCCCUGAGUGCACAAGGAAGUCUAAAAGUCUCUCUUGUAACAUGAGACUGGUAGGAAAGACACACACAUAUACAUUCAUAUUCAUGUGUUCCCCUGGAACUGUUCCAUGAUACCACCCUCACAAACAUAGCAUUUAACCCAGGAAAUAUUAUAAUGAAGAUAGUGUUUUGUGCACAAAAGGUUCACUAGAGUUGAGUUUACAGAAGUUCCUUGAAGUACAGUGUGGCUAUAUUCUAUCAACCCAAAGAAAGUUGCAAUAAAUAUGCAAGCUGGAUAUGCAUAAUCUAGGGAGUAUUAUAACCAAGCCCUUUCUAUAUAAACAGGUUUAGUACACUUACAUUGACCCAUAGUUAGAAAAAAACUGUGUCUAUUUCAUAAAAAUACUAAAUAUUACAUGUAAUAUUGCAUACAGUACACUGAAGAGGACUUGUUAUUUACUCAUAGUAACCUGUAGCUCACAGGGCAGAGCUUAUUGCUACUGCCCAACCAUAUGAGUAUUUUGUAACGUCACUACUGAGCAAAAAGGAUAAAAUUUAAAAAUCAGAGUAUGCUUUCUGAAGAAUGUGUAUCGGUUCUUCCUUCAUUCUGAAGUGUUGGAGAUUGAGCUCAUGACUCUGGACAUGCUAGACAAGUUCCUUAGGGUGGAGAUACAUUUACAGACCUUUUAAUUUUAUUUUGAAACAAGGACUUUCUCAGUUUCCCAGGCUGACUUCAAUCUUGCAAUCUUUGUAUCUCAAAGUCCAAAGUAGCUGUGAUUACAGGUGUGCACUACCAUACCCGACUGUAUAUAUUACAUUUACAUUGUAAACAGCCAAUAUAUUGUGAGUGAAAUGAAUAUAUCUCUGCCCCAUGUGAUGAGAGGAAAUGGUACACUAUUAGAUAUUAUACUCUACACUAUACAAACUUCCUGAGAGUCUUCCUCAGGAGGCUAGAGAAGAGAAAUAUGAUGUUCUGGUGCUUUUGGAAAUUCAUGGAAUAAUUUUUCAAAGUUGGGGUAUCAGAGUAGAGCCUCUGACAAUGAAAACUAGCCUGGUACUAAUGAUACCUACUGACCUGGAAGAUUCACUGCCUUUUCCCACAUUGCAUUCUUCUCCAAGAAGCUGACUUGUAAAUACCACAGCAUUCAGUCUGGCACAAUCUCUGGAUUCUGCUUGCUUUAACUAAUGGGGAGUACCAGUUGAAAAGCAGCCAAUAGGAGGCAAGAGAAGGCAGGGUAUUUAUUCUCCCGCCAACUACCCUGCUAUCCUGAGAUGAUGGCAAUCCUCCUGUCCUCUAUUGGCUAUAUAGCCUGCUGAAUUAACCUCUGCUAGCUCUAGGGUUCUGGCAACUUCAGAUUUUGCCCCUUUAAGUUCACUGCAUAUUUCUGCACAUUGAUGUUUCUGACAUUGUCAUUUUUCACAUGACAUACAGGUUUCCUCUAUCACCAUGUGUGCUUUUGUAACUAAAACUUCAUGAAUCUCUCACUAUAGUUUUGAAUGCAUCAUUCAGUUUUUACCUGUACUCUCUGCAAAUCAUAUUUUUGUUUUUAUUUAUCAUUAUUAUUUUUUGGUACCGGGGAUUGAACUUUGGACCUUGCCCUUGUGAGGCAGGCGCAGUUCCACUGAGCUAAAUCCCUGGUCCCUCUUUGCAAAUCAUAAAGGUAUUUAUGUUAGAGUUGUGAGAAAAAGUGUAGUACUUGGUAUAACUUCAUGUAGGUCUACAUGUAAAAGUUAUAUAUAUAUAUAUAUAUAUUGUUGUUCUUGUUUUUGUUGCUGUUGUUAGUACAUUUGCGGUACAUAUUGAUUACAUUCAUCAUAGGAAGUUGGUACAUGUACAUAACACAUCUUAAUAUCUUUUUUAUCCCCUUCUUCUCACUUCCUUCUCCUCACCCUCUACAUCUUAACAGUCAUACAAUAUAAUAGAUGUUUUAGUUAAUUUAAAGAACAGUGGCUGGAGGGGAUAGAAUAUCAAACAGAUGUAACAAAAUUUCUUGAGCUGAGGAGCACAAUGAACAUUUUAUUUAUGUUUCUGAAGACUCAGAAACAGUGCAAGGCAUGUUUGUUGACUAAUCUGGCUUUUGGUGAAGGUUAUCUUCUUGCAGAUGCCUCUCUCUCUCUCUCUGUCUCUCUCUCUCUGUCUCUCUCUCUCUCCUAGUAGGUAUUACAGGUACAAGCAAACAUAGCUAUGUGAUCAGGUAAAAAUCUAAUAUACUUGAAGAUAUAAUAUCCACAUAAUAUAAUAUAGUUGUUCAGGGCUUCAACACAUGAUUUAGGGGUGUUUAUUCCAUUCAUCACAAAGCCAGAGUAACUAGAAAGACAUUUAUCAAAGAUGAUUUCAGACCAUGAUAUGAAGAUAGGAUUGUCAACUAACAAUUGAUGAAGCUUCAGCAGAGGAGAGAGGUAAAAAUUUAUAAACUGGUAAGAAAGGGACUGAGGGAGCAGUAUACUUUUAGAAGGACCAAACAUUGAGAUAUGCUAAGUCAAAAGUUAGUGUUUUUAAUCAAUAUAAAAGGAAAUGCUAAUCAAUGCAAAGAGUGGUAUUGAAAAUGAAAAACAAAAACAGAAAAGAAAUACUUUUGAUCAAGUACAACCUCAAAAAAAAAAAAGUACAACCUCAUUGGAAUGUAAUAUUUAGCAAUUCAAUCAUGAUGGAAAUUAUGUCUCUGGAAUCUUUACUUAAAUAUUACAAAAUAUGUUCUAUGACUACUUACUCAGUAACUAUUAAUGAAGUAAUGAAUACAGCCAACCUGGUCAAAAAUAGUCAACAGAUUAGAAUUAAUCAUUCUUUUCUUUUAUUCUUAUUUUACCCCUCAGGAUGACUCUUUUCAUCCUGCUCUAUGGUCACAGCUAUCUCCCAUGGCACCUCUCACCCAGUUACUAUGGGAAUGUAACACUAGGAGCCCUGCAGUGGAGCUGGGUAGCUCUUCUGGGUCCUAGGUUCAAACAACCCUUUACCAGGAUGGUGUCUGACCAAGAUCUCUCUCUAGGGAUGUAGUAGGCACUUGUACUAGAGUCAUUCACCAGCCACUGCUUAUAGAAUGACUCACUAGGAGCAGUGUCUCACAUUCUUGCUAUAGAUCUUAGCAGCUGCCAAUCCAAUCUGUUCUACCACCUACCUCUCUGAGGUCCCCUUUGGUCUACAGCAUUCACUUGGUCUCAGUAUUCACUGAUGCCUUGAGCCAUCAUGAGUCAUAAGCCACAAGCCCCCAUGGGCUAUGAGCCACCAUAAGCCACAGAAAAAGUACAGAUAGUCUCCUCCUUUAUCUGCAUUGUUUUCUUUUUCUUCAGUUUCUCUGUACCUUUUAAUUUUCCUGUCAGAUCCUUCUGGUUCCUGGAAAUCUACUUCUCUCUUUUGUUUUUUGGCAAGUGGUUUUCCAAAGUCUGGAUUCCAAAUCUCAGAGUGGUUGAGUUGUUGUUGCACACUAUUCUGCCAUAUUUUUUCCAUCCCAUCUAAUUUAUUUUAUUUAACAUUAUGGUCCUGAGAUGCAUCCAUAUUGCUACAAAUGACUCAAAUUUAUUCUUCUUGACAGAAGAGAAGUACUCCACUAUGUAUAAAUACAUUUUCUUUACCCGUUUGUCUAUUGAUGAAUAUACAAGCUGCUUUCAAUUUCUUUUUCUAAAUCUACAUAUUCUCUUAUAUUUCCUAGAUACCAACAUUUUCUGGUUUACAGUGAUAUGCGACAAAGUUAUUUAUUUGUUUUCUUGGAUGCUGGAGACAGACAUCUUUAUUAAAGAUACUACCAAAAUUUUGGCAAACAUUUCACAAACAGAUUUGUAAACAUAAUGCUUUCCUUUUCAACUGGCAGCACUUUGAAAAGAAUAUAAGAUAACACAACUUGAAUAACAUUAGUUAAAAAUCCUAUGUUUUUGACCAUAUAACUUGUGUUCUCACAUGAUAAAACAAGUGAUAGUUUAAAUCAGCAUCAACAGAUAAACUCCAUGAAAUGAAAGUUUGUGCUAUUUGAUGAAUCACAGUAUGUUAUGGUUAAAUAUAUCUGCUUUUUAAUAUUCCUGGAAGCCAGAAUGAAAAAAAAUCUUUAAAUAUACAUCUCAUGUAGGUAAUAGCUUCUUUGCAUAUCUCUCUUCAAAAAAUACUUUAUAGCAGUAUAUUAAUAGGUUACCUACACAUUUAAUUUUAUAAUUUUGCCUCAAAACUA